AUUGAACGCUGGCGGCAGGCCUAACACAUGCAAGUCGAGCGAGCGGCGGACGGGUGAGUAAUGUAUGGGGACUGCCAGAUAGAGGGGGAUAACUAAUGGAAACGGUGGCUAAUACCGCAUACUAUCGGAUCACCCAUAUGGGAUUAGCUAGUAGGUGGGGUAAAGGCUCACCUAGGCGACUCUCUCUCGCUGGUCUGAGAGGAUGAUCAGCCACACUGGGACUGUGACACGGCCCAGACUCCUACGGAGGCAGCAGUGGGGAAUCUUCUGCAAUGGACGAAAGCCUGACCGAUCAACGCCGCGUGAAUGAAGAAGGUUUUCGGAUCGUAAAACACUGUUGUUAGAGAAGCGGUAUCUAACCAGAAAGCCACGGCUAACUACGUGCCAGCAGCCGCGGUAAUAC
rnacentral:rRNA from 1 species